ensembl:lncRNA
GUGAAAAUGAAGCGCGGCCAGCAGCUGCGGAGCCGGCAGUAAGAGAGAAAUACUCAGCGCGGACUAAACGGGGGGGUCUCAAUGAACGGCGUAACCGGGGGGGCGGGGCUCCGCGCAGGCGAUGACCGGGAAGACGUGAGGUUGAUCGAUUUCUCGGAGUUUGAUUUCGCGUCCUGGUUCCCCAUCACGUAUUCCGUAUCGACUACCAAUGCCUGCUUGCCGCCGUAUGGCGCCGGUGUUUGAGUCUGUGCUGCCGUGUGGAGGCAUUUCUGCGAUUUAACGGGCGAGAGUGAGAGAACAUGGGCCGCCGUUCUUCAGACAGCGAGGAUGACAGCCAUAGUCGGAGAAAGAGGAAGCACAGACGGCGCUCCUCGUCCUCCUCCUCCAGCUCAUCAGGGAGCAGAGUGACGAGCCGAAGCAAACACUCCAGCAGGAGAAGUCGCUCCCGGUCCAGAGCCCGAGACCGAGAUCAAGAGAGAGACAGGGACCGAGAUAGGAGGCGAAGGCACCGUUCCAGCAGCAGCUCAUCCAGAGGUUCCAGCCACAGGAAGCGGAGUCGUAGCACUGACAGGGGGCGGAGCCACAGAUCCCGGAGGUCUCGCUCCCGCAGCCGAAAGAGGUCUCGUUCCCGUCACCGCAGGUCCCGCAGUAGCGGCCGGUCCAGCAGGAGGCGCAGUCGUAGCCGGAGCCGAGGCCGGGACCGCAGCCAGCGCAAGACCCGGGACAGGGAAAGAGAGAGAGGACGGGACAGAGAGCGUGAGAAAGAGAAAGAUGCAAAAGCCAAGGAAAAGGAAAAACAAGGUCUAGAACCCGUCUCAGUUGCCGCUCUGCCGCCCCCUAAGCUGCUGACCGCCUGAAAAGAGGAGGGCUCUGGCCACGCUUGGCUGAGGAGGGGAGGUGUUCCAGCCAUCAAUUCUGAAUCAUAUCUUUCUCUCCUCUCCCUCUGCCCCCGUUUUAUUGACUACGCUCAACUGUCUUAGAGCACUGAAAGGCCAGCAGAGGCUUUUGCUGGGAUUUGAUGGACUUUUUUCUCUCGGCUGCAGUGGGAUUAUGCUAAGUGGCCCAUUCUGUUCGACUGUUUUUUCUUUAAGAGUGGAAAGAAGCUUUUUUUUCUUUAAAGGGCGGGUUUGGAUCUGAUUAAGAACAUACUGACCGGGCGGUGCCAUCAUCAACCUGCUAUUGUACUCAGACAUGACAGCAGCAGCCUAACUCGCUCUCUUUUGUCUGUGUGUGCUUGUUUUUGUACAUUUUCAGGACGAAAAUGUCCUUUUUGUGUAGUAAAACAGAGAAAACUGGACCGACAAAACUUUUUUACAAAACACUGUUUCAUUUCAUUUCUUAAAACUGAAAGAGC